GAUUACAUCUUCUUUUUUUCUGUUACGAUCAGCAUAUAUACAUAAAAACACACACAUAGGUAUGUAGUCAUAGUUAUAUUAAAGUUCUUCCUCUUCUAUCUAGGUGAACAGUGGGACUUGUCUUCAGCUUCAAGUGGAACAGCUCUGACCUGUAUGGUGAUCAGACUCGGAGAGGAGAGACACCUGGUCCAACAAGGUGAUGGACGGCUGAAAGGACUAAUCAUCAAGAUGAACAAGACAAGCCAAACAUUGGAGACGAGCCACCACAGGAGCCUGAAGGAAAAUUAACGAGAGCAGCCAGGAGCUGAAAGUGUGGGCAGAGGAACAGGAUGCUGAGGACGAGUUGGAAGACGGUUCCCUGAACCUGCACUGAAUCCCGAUUUCCUGUAAUCGAGUUUUGUGGACUGACAGUUUGCAUGGUUGGUGCUCGGCCCAGGACAGGAGAGACACCUGGUCCAACAAGGUGAUGGAUGGUUGACAGGACGAAUUAUCAAGAGGAGCCAAACAAUGGAGAUGAGCCGCCACUGGAGCCUGAAGGGAAAGAAACGAGAGCAGCCAGGAGCCUCAAGUGUGGGCAGAGGACUGGGCUGAUGAAGACGAGUUGGACAACAGCCUCCUGAACUGAAUCCUGAUUUCCUGUAAUCAAGUUUUGUGGACUGACAUAUUGUCUGGUUGGUGCUCGGCCCAGGAGAGGAAGGCUCUGCAGCGGGUGAUCCAUCCAUCCACAGAGCAUCAGUGACAGAGGAGAGGUGAAGUGUCUGCUCAGAGCUCCAAGAAUACUGAAAAAGGCUAAAAGAACCAGAAGUAACUGCUGAUGUAGCUUCUGUCCUCGGUGAGACUCUCCAACAUGAAAAAUAUUUUGAACAUCAACAAAAUAGACUGCUUUGGUUUCUAUCCAUCUGUGAUGAAGCAUUAAAUGAGUCAAACUUA